rnacentral:rRNA from 1 species
ACCCGCUGAACUUAAGCAUAUCAAUAAGCGGAGGAAAAGAAACCAACAGGGAUUACCUCAGUAACGGCGAGUGAAGCGGCAAUAGCUCAAAUUUGAAAUCUGGAGCCUUCGGCUUCCGAGUUGUAAUUUGAAGAGGAUGCUUCGGUUGUGGCCCUAGCCUAAGUUCCUUGGAACAGGACGUCGUAGAGGGUGAGAAUCCCGUUCACGGCUUCUGGCCUACUUCCAUGUGAAACUCCUUCGAAGAGUCGAGUUGUUUGGGAAUGCAGCUCAAAAUGGGUGGUAAAUUUCAUCUAAAGCUAAAUAUUGGCGAGAGACCGAUAGCGCACAAGUAGAGUGAUCGAAAGAUGAAAAGCACUUUGAAAAGAGAGUUAAACAGUACGUGAAAUUGUUGAAAGGGAAGCGCUUGCAAUCAGACUCACCUGCGGUUGAUCAAGGUUCCUUUUGGUUCCUGCACUCUGCCGUUUGUGGGCCAGCAUCAGUUGGGGCGGUGGGACAAAGGCUUUGGGAAUGUGGCUCUCUUCGGAGAGUGUUAUAGCCCUUUGCGUAAUACCGCCAGUCCUGACUGAGGUCCGCGCUUUGCUAAGAAGCUGGCUUAAUGGUUGGAAACCAACCGUCUUGAAACACGG